rnacentral:misc_RNA from 1 species
GAUGAAGAACGUAGCGAAAUGCGAUAAGUAAUGUGAAUUGCAGAAUUCAGUGAAUCAUCGAAUCUUUGAACGCACAUUGCGCCCGCCAGCAUUCUGGCGGGCAUGCCUGUUCGAGCGUCAUUUCAACCCUCGAGCCCCCCCCGGGGGCCUCGGUGUUGGGGGACGGCACACCAGCCGCCCCCGAAAUGCAGUGGCGACCCCGCCGCAGCCUCCCCUGCGUAGUAGCACACACCUCGCACCGGAGCGCGGAGGCGGUCACGCCGUAAAACGCCCAACUUUCUUAGAGUUGACCUCGGAUCAGGUAGGAAUACCCGCUGAACUUAAGCAUAUCAUAAGCGGAGGA